UACCAGCACCCCGAGUGGUCGGGACGAUUAUCGGGCCUAAAGCAUCCGUAGCCGGCCUUACAAGUCCUCCGUUAAAUCCAGCUGCUUAACAGAUGGGCUGCGGAGGAUACUAUAAGACUAGGAGGCAGGAGAGGCAAGCGGUACUCAGUGGGUAGGGGUAAAAUCCGUUGAUCCAUUGAAGACCACCAGUGGCGAAGGCGGCUUGCCAGAAUGCGCUCGACGGUGAGGGAUGAAAGCUGGGGGAGCAAACCGG
rnacentral:rRNA from 1 species